rnacentral:rRNA from 1 species
GCCGAUAACUCCGGGAUAGCCUUUCGAAAGAAAGAUUAAUACCGGAUGGCAUACGAAUAUUGCAUGAUAACACCAUUAAAGAUUUAUUGGUAAACGAUGGGGAUGCGUUCCAUUAGGUAGUAGGCGGGGUAACGGCCCACCUAGCCUGCGAUGGAUAGGGGUUCUGAGAGGAAGGUCCCCCACAUUGGAACUGAGACACGGUCCAAACUCCUACGGGAGGCAGCAGUGAGGAAUAUUGGUCAAUGGACGAGAGUCUGAACCAGCCAAGUAGCGUGCAGGAUGACGGCCCUAUGGGUUGUAAACUGCUUUUAUAAGGGAAUAAAGUGAGUCUCGUGAGGCUUUUUGCAUGUACCUUAUGAAUAAGGACCCGGCUAAUUCCCGUG